rnacentral:rRNA from 1 species
UCAAGCUACUAAGGGCAUACGGCGGAUGCCUAGGCGCCAUCAGCCGAUGAAGGACGCGGUAAGCUGCGAAAAGCUACGGGGAACUGCAAGCAAGUAUUGAUCCGUAGAUGUCCGAAUGGGGAAACCCACCUGCCGUCAUGGGCAGGUAUCCGAAAGGAAGGGAACCCGGGGAACUGAAACAUCUAAGUACCCGGAGGAAGAGAAAUCAAACGAGAUGCCCACAGUAGCGGCGAGCGAAGAGGGCAGAGGGCAAACCGGUGAGCUACGGCUCGCCGGGGUUGAGGACUGCAUUUAGUCUCAAUGGUCUAUCCGAACUACCUGGAAAGGUAGGCAAUACAGUGUAAAAGCCACGUAGGUUAAAGACCGGAGAGAUGAGCAGUAUCCAGAGUACCACGAGGCACGAGGAAUCUUGUGGGAAGCCGGGGGGACCACCCUCCAACCCUAAACACUGAAUGGCGACCGAUAGCGCAUAGUACCGUGAGGGAAAGGUGAAAAGAACCCCGGGAGGGGAGUGAAAGAGAACCUGAAACCGUAUGUCUACAAGCAGUCGGAGCGAAAGCGACGGCGUGCCUAUUGAAGAAUGAACCAACGAGUUACGUGCACUAGCGAGGUUAAGUGGAAGACACGGAGCCGAAGCGAAAGCGAGUCUUAAGAGGGCGGAUAGUUAGUGUACGUAGACCCGAAACCGCAGUGAUCUACCCAUGUCCAGGUUGAAGCGCAGGUAAAAUUGCGUGGAGGACCGAACCUGUGAGCGUUGAAAAGCUUUAGGAUGAGAUGUGGGUAGAGGUGAAAUUCCAAUCGAACGCGGAGAUAGCUGGUUCUCCCCGAAAUAGCUUUAGGGCUAGCCUCAAGUAGUAAGUAUAGGCGGUAGAGCACUGAUCGGGCUAGGGGCCAUAAAGGUUACCGAACCCUGUCAAACUCCGAAUGGUUAUACUGUAGAGCUUGGGAGUCAGACUACGAGUGAUAAGAUCCGUGGUCAAAAGGGAAACAGCCCAGACCACCAGCUAAGGUCCCCAAUGUCGUACUAAGUGGAAAAGGAUGUGGGGUCUCUAAAACAACCAGGAUGUUGGCUUAGAAGCAGCCACCAUUUAAAGAGUGCGUAAUAGCUCACUGGUCGAGAGACCCUGCGCCGAAGAUUACCGGGGCUAAAGUACGAAACCGAAGCUGUGGCUACGACAUAUGUCGUGGGGUAGGGGAGCGUUCUGUGAGGGCUGAAGUCGUUCUGUAAGGAACGGUGGACUUCACAGAAGUGAGAAUGUUGGUAUGAGUAGCGAAAAGAAUGGUGAGAAUCCAUUCCACCGAAAGCAUAAGGAUUCCUGGGCAACGAUCGUCGUCCCAGGGUAAGUCGGGACCUAAUCCGAGGCAUGGAGCGUAGGAGAUGGACAACUGGCAGAUAUUCCAGUACCGGUAAUGAUUGUUUGAGCGAUGGAGUGACACAGGAGGGCAGGCAGGCAGGAGAUUGGUUGUUCCUGUACAAGCGUGUAGGAUGGGACGCAGGCAAAUCCGCGUCCUGUGAGUCUGAGGCGUGAUGUGGAGGUUCCGGAAACGGAACUGAAGCUGCUGACCCCACACUGUCGAGAAAAGCUUCUAGUUAGAGAAUUACCGCCCGUACCGUAAACCGACACAGGUAUGCGGGGAGAGAAUCCUAAGGUGCGCGGGAGAACCCUCGUUAAGGAACUCGGCAAAAUGUACCCGUAACUUCGGGAUAAGGGUAGCCGCUGUUGUGAAGUCUGAACAGACGGAGCAUGAGGCGGUCGCAGAGAAGAGGCCCAAGCGACUGUUUACCACAAACACAGGUGCCUGCUAAAGAGAAAUCUGACGUAUAGGUGCUGACACCUGCCCAGUGCCGGAAGGUUAAGGAAGGAUGUCCGGAGCAAUCCAAAGCAUUCGACCGAAGCCCCGGUGAACGGCGGCCGUAACUAUAACGGUCCUAAGGUAGCGAAAUUCCUUGUCGGGUAAG